GAUGAACGCUGGCGGCGUGCCUAAUACAUGCAAGUCGAGCGAACAGACGAGGAGCUUGCUCCUCUGACGUUAGCGGCGGACGGGUGAGUAACACGUGGAUAACCUACCUAUAAGACUGGGAUAACUUCGGGAAACCGGAGCUAAUACCGGAUAAUAUAUUGAACCGCAUGGUUCAAUAGUGAAAGACGGUUUUGCUGUCACUUAUAGAUGGAUCCGCGCCGCAUUAGCUAGUUGGUAAGGUAACGGCUUACCAAGGCAACGAUGCGUAGCCGACCUGAGAGGGUGAACGGCCACACAGGAACAGAGAAACGGUCCAGACUCCUACGGGAGGCAGAAGUAGGGAAUCUUCCGCAAUGGGCGAAAGCUUGACGGAGCAAAGCCGCGUGAGUGAGGAAGGUCUUCGGAUCGUAAAACUCUGUUAUUAGGGAAGAACAAAUGUGUAAGUAACAAUGCACGUCUUGACGGUACCUAAUCAGAAAGCCACGGCUAACUACGUG
rnacentral:rRNA from 1 species